rnacentral:misc_RNA from 1 species
UUAAGUUCAGCGGGUAUCCCUACCUGAUCCGAGGUCAACCUUUAAAAGUGGGGGUUGAUUGACAAGCCGCUGCCCGAGUCCAAAAGCGACGAGUAUUACUACGCUUAGGGUUCAGACAGUGCUGCCACUGACUUUGAGGCAGGCCCUACAGGGCGAGCCCAAUACCACGCUGGGCGUGAGGGUUGUAAUGACGCUCGAAU